GACACGGUCCAUACUCCUACGGGAGGCAGCAGUGAGGAAUCUUCCGCAAUGGGCGAAAGCCUGACGGAGCGACACCGCGUGGUGGAUGAAGGCCUUUUUGGUCGUAAACACCUGUUCUGAGGGACGAAAUUUUUGACGGUACCUCAGGAGAAAGCAUCGGCUAAGCCUGUGCCAGCAGCCGCGGUAAUACAGGCGAUGCAAGCGUUACUCGGAAUUACUGGGCGUAAAGCGUCUGUAGGUUUUAAGGUAAGUCUGGGGUAAAAUUUCGGGGCUCAACCCCGAACUCGUCCCGGAAACUACCUCAAUUGAGUAAUGGAGAGGUAUCUGGAAUGCCGUGAGUAGGAGUAAAAUCCGUAGAUACACGGUAGAACGCCAAAAGCGAAGGCAGGAUACUAGCCAUUCACUGACACUGAGAGACGAAAGCGUGGGGAGCAAAGGGGAUUAGAUACCCCCGUAGUCCACGCCCUAAACGAUGUGUGCUCGAUGUAGGACAUUUUCAAUUGUGUUCUGUGUCUUAGCUAACGCGGUAAGCACACCGCCUGGGAAGUACGGUCGCAAGACUAAAACUCAAAGGAAUAGACGGGGACCCACACAAGCGGUGGAGCAUGGGGUUUAAUUCGAUAAUAAGCGAAGCACCUCACCCAGGCUUGACAUCUUUGGAAUCCUCCAGAAACGGAGGAGUGCCGCAAGGAACCAAAAGACAGGCGCUGCACGGUUGUCGUCAGCUCGUGCCUUGAGGUGUACUGUUAAGUCAGCGAACGAGCGCAACCCUCAUCCUAUGUUGUUUUUUCAUGGGAGACUGCCGCCUCCAAGGCGGAGGAAGGUGGGGAUGACGUCAGAUCAGCGUGGCCCUUAUGCCUGGGGCAACACCCGUGCUACAAUGGUCGGUACAGAGGGCAGCGAACCCGCGAGGGGGAGCCAAUCCCAAAAAGCCGAUCUCAGUUCGGAUUGAAGUCUGCAACUCGACUUCAUGAAGUUGGAAUCGCUAGUAA
rnacentral:rRNA from 1 species